ACGUGACUAACCUACCCCGGUGUGGGGGAUAACGGGUCGAAAGACUCGCUAAUCCCGCAUACGAUCCGCCUCGGCGGAGGAAAGCCGUAAGGCGCACUGGGCGGGGGUCGCGUCCCAUUAGAUAGUUGGUGUGGUAAUGGCGCACCAAGUCGAUGAUGGGUCUCUGGUCUGAGAGGACGACCAGACAGAUUGGGACUGAGACACGGCCCAAACUCCUACGGGGAGCAGCAGCAAGGAAUUUUCGGCAAUGGGCGCAAGCCUGACCGAGCAACGCCGCGUGGAGGAUGACGGCUCUUGGGUUGUAAACUCCUUUUGGGGGGGACGAUAAUGACGGUACCCUCCGAAUCAGGCCCGGCUAACUACGUGCCAGCAGCCGCGGUAAUACGUAGGGGCCAAGCGUUGUCCGGAAUUACUGGGCGUAAAGCGUGGGUAGGUGGUCGGUGAUGUGCCGCGUGAAAGCGCCGGAGUAAUGCCGGCGAGGUCGCGGUAGACACACGGACUCGAGGCUCGCAGAGGAACGUGGAACUCCCGGUGUAGUGGUGAAAUGCGUAGAUAUCGGGAGGAACACCAGUGGCGCAAGCGGCGUUCUGGGCGAGACCUGACACUGAGCCACGACGGCGUGGGGAGCAAACAGGAUUAGAUACCCUGGUAGUCCACGCAGUAAACGAUGCAUACCAGGUGUGGGAUGGCGUUCGCGUCGUUCCGUGCCGCAGCUUACGCGAUGAGUAUGCCGCCUGGGGACUACGAGCGCAAGCUUAAAACUCAAAGGAAUUGA
rnacentral:rRNA from 1 species